UCGAGAAUCUUCGGCAAUGGGCGCAAGCCUGACCGAGCGACGCCGCGUGCGGGAUGAAGGCCUUCGGGUUGUAAACCGCUGUCAGGGGGGAUGAAAUCAUCCGGGGUUCUCCCCGGAUGUUGACAGAGCCCCAGAGGAAGCACGGGCUAAGUUCGUGCCAGCAGCCGCGGUAAUACGAACUGUGCGAACGUUAUUCGGAAUCACUGGGCUUAAAGGGUGCGUAGGCGGCCGUUUAAGUAGGGUGUGAAAU
rnacentral:rRNA from 1 species